UGGGGAAUAUUGGACAAUGGGCGCAAGCCUGAUCCAGCCAUGCCGCGUGAGUGAUGAAGGUCCUAGGGUUGUAAAGCUCUUUCACCGGUGAAGAUAAUGACGGUAACCGGAGAAGAAGCCCCGGCUAACUUCGUGCCAGCAGCCGCGGUAAUACGAAGGGGGCUAGCGUUGUUCGGAUUUACUGGGCGUAAAGCGCACGUAGGCGGACUUUUAAGUCAGGGGUGAAAUCCCGGGGCUCAACCCCGGAACUGCCUUUGAUACUGGAAGUCUUGAGUAUGGUAGAGGUGAGUGGAAUUCCGAGUGUAGAGGUGAAAUUCGUAGAUAUUCGGAGGAACACCAGUGGCGAAGGCGGCUCGCUGGACCAUUACUGACGCUGAGGUGCGAAAGCGUGGGGAGCAAACAGG
rnacentral:rRNA from 1 species